AAAUACUCAUGGCUUCUACGUGAAUUUAGUAGUUUAAAACUUUUGAAGGUUAUUUAUGUGGAUGGCCCGAAGCAGAAGCCCUGAGUGGCUCUCCGCGAGCACGUGAUGUCAUUAAACUAAGUUUUAUGGUUUGGGGGAGCUGACAAACCCACAAUAUAUUUACAUCAUAUAUAAUCUUAACUGUCCGGCGUCGCAGCUGCUCGCGCUGGCGAGCGGCGGGGCAGCGGGACCGGGCGCGGAGCGCGGAGCGCGGCGGCAUCGCGGCUCCCCGGCACCGGCCACCUCCCAGAAGCAGCAGCCACCGCAAACACAACUCGCAGCCAAGAGCACAAAGAGCCCCGACCAUUUCGCUGUGACUGAUUUAUGGCGUUUUACAACCCCAUAAAAAGCUGUAACAACCAGCCAAAAGCCUUCGACACCGCUGGCACAUUUAGUCUAAUAAAUAAAACAUAAACAGUUAA